rnacentral:rRNA from 1 species
UACGGAGGGAGCUAGCGUUAUUCGGAAUUACUGGGCGUAAAGCGUACGUAGGCGGCUUUGUAAGUUAGAGGUGAAAGCCUGGAGCUCAACUCCAGAACUGCCUUUAAAACUGCAUCGCUUGAAUCCAGGAGAGGUGAGUGGAAUUCCGAGUGUAGAGGUGAAAUUCGUAGAUAUUCGGAAGAACACCAGUGGCGAAGGCGGCUCACUGGACUGGUAUUGACGCUGAGGUACGAAAGCGUGGGGAGCAACAGG